CAGCACCUCAAGUGGUCAGGAUGGUUAUUGGGCCUAAAGCAUCCGUAGCCGGCUCUGUAAGUUUUCGGUUAAAUCUGUACGCUCAACGUACAGGCUGCCGGGAAUACUGCAGAGCUAGGGAGUGGGAGAGGUAGACGGUACUCGGUAGGAAGGGGUAAAAUCCUUUGAUCUAUUGAUGACCACCUGUGGCGAAGGCGGUCUACCAGAACACGUCCGACGGUGAGGGAUGAAAGCUGGGGGAGCAAACCGGAUUAGAUACCCGAGUAGUCC
rnacentral:rRNA from 1 species